rnacentral:lncRNA from 1 species
CACAAAAGGCAGUAUUUGAUAAAUUGGUCCGAGAACACAAUUAAUUCGUAGUGCAUUUCUUUUAGAACACAAAUGAAAACUAAAAAAAUCCCACCUGCGCUUUCUCAUUGAAAUUUUUUACAGUGUGUUGUACUACUUUUAUGACAAAAUAUAUCAAAAUUAUAGAAAACUGCAUCGCCUCUAACUCAAAAUAUAGACAAUUUGUGUUUAGGUGUUUAAAUCUUUGACAGUUUCCGAAGUGCUAAUUUAAACCUUUUUCAGCUGGACCAAAUCACUGCUUUCCUGUAAAAUUCUAGACACAAAUUUUUUUACAGUGUAAUUUCACC